CGGAGGAAAAGAAACUAACAAGGAUUCCCCUAGUAACUGCGAGUGAAGCGGGAAAAGCUCAAAUUUAAAAUCCGUCCACCGACGGAGUUGUAAUCUAGAGAAGUGUUUUCGGCCGCAGACCUGGACAAGUCCCUUGGAAUAGGGCGUCAUAGAGGGUGAGAAUCCCGUCCUUGCCAGUCUCCCUGCGUCUAUGUGAUACACUCUCGAAGAGUCGAGUUGUUUGGGAAUGCAGCUCAAAAUGGGUGGUAAAUUCCAUCUAAAGCUAAAUAUUGGCACGAGACCGAUAGCGAACAAGUACCGUGAGGGAAAGAUGAAAAGCACUUUGGAAAGAGAGUUAAACAGUACGUGAAAUUGCUAAAAGGGAAGCGCUUGGAGUCAGUCGCGUCUUCAGAGACUCAGCCUCACGGUGUAUUUCUUUGUCGACGGGCCAACAACAGUUUCGAGCGCGGGAAAAGGACUUGAGGAAUGUGGCAACUCCGGUUGUGUUAUAGCCUCUUGUCGUACACCGCGCCCGGGACUGAGGACCGCGGCCUAGCCUAGGUUGUUGGCGUAAUGGCUCUAAGCGACCCGUCUU
rnacentral:rRNA from 1 species